rnacentral:rRNA from 1 species
CCAGCAGCCGCGGUAAUUCCAGCUCUGUAAGCGUAUACCAAAGUUGUUGCAGUUAAAACGCUCGUAGUCGGAUUUUGGCGYGUGCUGCARAGACUCCGUAAGGAGGUUGAUGUAGCUCCGCCUUUGUGGAGGGGGGUGCRGUGGUACUUUAYUGUAUUGCUGCAUUUCCACCACUGUUUACUGUGAAAAAAUUAGAGUGUUCAAAGCGAGCGAUUGCCAUGAAUACAUUAGCAUGGAAUAAUAGAAUAGGACCUGGUCCUGUUUUUAUUGGUUUGUCGGUAUCAGGUAAUGAUUAAGAGGGACGGUCGGGGGCAUUUGUAUUCCASCGCUAGAGGUGAAAUUCUUGGAUUGCUGGAAGAMAAACAGCUGCGAMAGCGUCUGCCAAGGACGUUUUCAUUGAUCAAGAACGAAAGUAAGGGGAUCGAAGACGAUCAGAUACCGUCGUAGUCUUUACUAUAAACGAUGAGGACUGGGGAUCGGAUGUAUGCUUAUGGUACUUUCGGCACCCUCCGGGAAACCAAAGUGUUUGCUUUCUGGGGGGAGUAUGGUCGCAAGUCUGAAACUUAAAGGAAUUGACGGAAGGGCAUCACCGGGUGUGGAGCCUGCGGCUUAAUUUGACUCAACACGGGA